rnacentral:rRNA from 1 species
CGACCCCAGAUCAGGCGGGGCUACCCGCUG